GACGAACGCUGGCAGCGUGCUUAACACAUGCAAGUCGAACGGUAAGGCCCUUCGGGGUACACGAGUGGCGAACGGGUGAGUAACACGUGGGUGAUCUGCCCUGCACUUCGGGAUAAGCCUGGGAAACUGGGUCUAAUACCGGAUAGGACUCCUGGCUUCAUGGUUGGGGGUGGAAAGCUUUUGCGGUGUGGGAUGGGCCCGCGGCCUAUCAGCUUGUUGGUGGGGUAAUUGCCUACCAAGGCGACGACGGGUAGCCGGCCGGAGAGGGUGACCGGUCACACUGGGACUGAGAUACGGACCAGACUCCUACGGGAGGCAGCAGUGGGGAAUAUUGCACAAUGGGCGCAAGCCUGAUGCAGCGACGCCGCGUGAGGGAUGACGGCCUUCGGGUUGUAAACCUCUUUCAGCUAUGACGAAGCGCAAGUGACGGUAGUAGCAGAAGAAGGACCGGCCAACUACGUGCCAGCAGCCGCCGUAA
rnacentral:rRNA from 1 species